CUCCGCCUACUUUUGCAAGCCGCAGUGAGCUUUUUACUCCAUGGCAACCU
ensembl:ncRNA ZK809.11 ncRNA